AUUGAACGCUGGCGGCAGGCCUAACACAUGCAAGUCGAGCGAGCGGCGGACGGGUGAGUAAUGUAUGGGAAACUGCCCGAUGGAGGGGGAUAACUACUGGAAAAGGUGGCUAAUACCGCAUACUAUCGGAUGAACCCAUAUGGGAUUAGCUAGGAGGUGGGGUAAAGGCUCACCAGGGCGACGAUCUCUAGCUGGUCUGAGAGGAUGACCAGCCACACUGGAACUGAGACACGGCCCAGACUCCUACGGGAGGCAGCAGUGGGGAAUAUUGCACAAUGGGCGCAAGCCUGAUGCAGCCAUGCCGCGUGUAUGAAGAAGGCCUUAGGGUUGUAAAGUACUUUCAGCGGGGAGGCGUUACCCGCAGAAGAAGCACCGGCUAACUCCGUGCCAGCAGCCGCGGUAAUUC
rnacentral:rRNA from 1 species